rnacentral:snRNA from 1 species
GGAUGUGGGGGUCAUCUGGCUGCAACAUCUGUCACACCAUUGAUUUCCAGGGUUGAUUUGGUUAAUCUGACUGGCUAGGCAGAUAUCGUCUUCCUUUCUCACUGCUCCAUGUGCUCCAUGUGCUCUUGAAGGACGACCUUUCCAGAUAGAAAUGGGUGGGUUGGGGGAUGGGCAGUAGUGCAGCAGGUUUAGCGCACAUGGCGCAAAGCGCAAGAACCGGUGUAAGGAUCGGUGUAGGAUCCUGGUUCAAGCCCCCGGCUCCCCACUUGUAGAGGAGUCACUUCACAGGCAGUGAAGCAGGUCUGUAGGUGUCUGUCUUUCUCUCCCCCUCUUCUGUCUUCCUUUCUCCAUUUCUUCCUUUCUCCAUUUCUCUCUGUCCUAUCCAACAAUAAUGACAUUAAUAAUAACAACAAUAAUAACUACAAUAAUAAAACAAGAGUAACAAAAGGGAAAAUAAAUAAAAUAAAAAAAGGAACAGAUGGGUCUUCAGUCAAGGGCAUAGGAAUAGCUGUACUCCCCUAUUAGAACCUCCAAACAAGCCCUCAAGAUCCAAAUAUACAGUGGGCACACAGUGAAUAUGUAUUUAAACAAUAGGAUGGACAUGUAAAUAUCUAAAAAAAAUUAGGAUGAUUUAUUU